rnacentral:rRNA from 1 species
ACGUUAGCGGCGGACGGGUUAGUAACACGUGGGUAACCUACCUAUAAGACUGGGAUAACUCCGGGAAACCGGGGCUAAUACCGGAUAACACAUGAAACCGCAUGGUUUCAUGAUGAAAGACGGUUUUGCUGUCACUUAUAGAUGGACCCGCGGCGUAUUAGCUAGUUGGUAAGGUAACGGCUUACCAAGGCAACGAUACGUAGCCGACCUGAGAGGGUGAUCGGCCACACUGGAACUGAGACACGGUCCAG